rnacentral:lncRNA from 1 species
AUCAUUUAUAUUUUUACAGUAUUUUAAAUAGUAAAAUUGACCAAAUAUAUAGGCAAUUUUUAAAACUUACAACUUUUGUAAAACGAAAUUUUACCAAAUGUUAAUUGACUUUUUUGACCACCGAUUUUUUUUUUUGGCACACCUAAUGACAAUUUUUAUAAAAAUAUAAUAUUAUCAAACUAAUCCUUACUAAAAAUAAUGCAAAUAAUUUCUAGUCUAACCAUGAUGACCAAUUAAAAAUAGUUCACGGAUACUCUUGAUUAGGCUAUGGUGAGUCGAUGACGACUUAAAAUAGUCCAUAAAAGAAGAACUCUUGUUCAAUAGUGAAGAUGUUAACAUGCUAUUCCUCCAUAGACACAAUCCAUUAAGUUUUUUUCCCCAAUUGUUGGAGGCAAAACAUCACUCUCGGGAAUAGGACAUUGAUUCCAACCCCUUUAAAAUGUUUUUUUCAUUAGUAAGGAUAAAAUGUUUUUUUUUUCAUUAAUAUGGAUACCUUCUUGUCGAAACUAAAAUAUUUUUAACUUUCAAGCAUAUCUAGAGCUUCAUGGAAUUGACAUGCUCUAUUAAUUAAUCAUUAAUGUAUUUACAUCCAUAUUAAUUAUACUAAAGAUAAUUAAGUUAAAAUAACAAUUUUUG